rnacentral:rRNA from 1 species
CGCGUAGGUAAUCUACCCUUAUAUUUGGGAUAACAUUGGGAAACUGGUGCUAAUACCGGAUAAUGUCUACGGACCAAACAGGGCUUCGGCUCUGGCGCAAAGAGAGGCCCAAGUGAGAUUAGCUAGUUGGUGAGGUAAAGGCUCACCAAGGCAACGAUCUCUAGCUGUUCUGAGAGGAAGAUCAGCCACACUGGGACUGAGACACGGCCCAGACUCCUACGGGAGGCAGCAGUGGGGAAUAUUGCACAAUGGGGGAAACCCUGAUGCAGCCAUGCCGCGUGUGUGAAGAAGGCCUUCGGG